GCGGGAAUAACUGAUCAAGUUGUCUUUCAAUCUUCCAUAUACCAGAACUACCAGCAACAAGAUAAAGGCUGUUGUUGUCAGACCGUAUACAGACUGAAAAUGCAAUACAAUCUAACUUUAAAUGUAUAACCUUUGCAAAUACAGCUGUUCCUUUAAAUGUCAGCAAGUAGAUGACUAUCCACGUGGCUAACAGACAGAGCAGAAGAUACCAUACCAAGUGACCAGGCUCAGCAAUACCAUCUGAUCUCUGCAAAAACUUCUCGCUGAAACAAAUAAGUGUCACGAACAAUUCUGGUGAUCCAAUUGAUGCAUAUAAGUUCAUGUAUAUUUUAGUAUGCAAGUGGUCGUGUUACAAUAUGAAAAAAAGGAAUUUCAAACCUGGAAUGAUUACCGAAAUGUAAAUGUUUCAACCAAGGACCAAGAAGAGGAUAAUGGAAAUAUCUAC